AAGAGAACUUUUUUUCUUUUCAUUUUUUAAGAACAAUGAAGUUACAGAAUUGAUUUUAAAAUAAAAAAAUAAGCAUGGUUCUAAGGGUAAUUUUGUCUUUUCCUUUUUUUAAAAAAAAAAAUUAUUUUGGGGUCGACUAGGGGCUGUUUGGUAAUUUUAAAAAAUAAAUAUUAUUAAAAAAAGCUUUUAAUGCGUGCAUGCAUUAGCACGUGGCUCCCCCACUGUAACGACCCGACCUUUUCAAACCCAAAAUCAAUGGAUUUUUUUUCCCAUCCGGUUCUGGAUGUUUUUCACCAUAUCAUUCUACAAAAUUAUAAUUGCAUUCCAUUCAUUAAUAAAGCACAAUCCACGUAGAAUAACGUAAAAAAAAAAGAUUUCCAUGAAUAAGACCCGAUUGCUAAAUGUCAGAACUCUAGGGGAAAUAAAAAAUGGCCCUUUCCAACCUAAAACAGCGUCGUUCCCAAACCUGUUCAUAGUCUCCUUCCUCCGGAGCAGGAUAGAUCACCCUAGGAGGCCAUUUAGAUGGCCUACGUUGAACCAAAUCUCCCUGUCAAACCCAAACCAAAUCUAAGGCCACAUUGUCUACCACAGAACCCAUAGGAUUUGGUUCGGUAUCCCUCACCCUUAUAACUCUCCCCUGACGCAAGGAUAAGCAUCGCCAACAGUCCAACAAUGGCAGGACUGAUGGUGUUUUGAAUCAAUCAAACAUGGACCAAACCCGAGCUAUGUUUAUCCUCAUCCACGAGAUUGUCACCCUGGGGAGAUAAGGGACGAAAUUCGUGGAUGAGAAUUGGAGAUUCGACCCUAUUAAAACCAGACAAAAAACAGAACUAAGAGGAUGAAAAAAACAGAAAGACAAAAAAAACCCCAAAGCUAGAGAGGGAAGAACAAAAAACAACAAAAAGAGAGUGAGGAUCGGGGAUCAAUUACUAGGAUCCAACAAAAAAAAACACAAGAAAAAAAACAUAUCAUUCGCAAAGAAAAAGGAGAAGCCAUUUUUGCUAAUCUCUGCUUUCUCCAAGACCAGAGCUUUUCAUGAAGAAAUCAUAGCAAAAAACAAAAACAGAGGGAUGAAGACACAGGAAAACCAGAAGAGCAAAAACAAAAGAGAAGAUUUUGCAUUCCUUCGUAACGCCCUCAGCUUCGCCUUGAACAACAGCUCACCAGCUGUCAGGCGCCUAUUGGCUGUGGAAAUGCACAGUCACGCCACACGGUCUUCACUCCAAUACACUAACUUCGUCUUCAUUCUUCAGUCUUCACUCCUCCUUUUCAUCGAACAAAUCCCUAAUCCCCUUCUCUAAUUAACCAACUUGGCACCGGCAACCACAAAAGCGGUGACGAUCACGGUCACGGUCACGGUCCAGUCUUCACUAAUUCUCUUUCCUCACUCCAGUCUUCACUCUAGAGUCCAGUCAUCAAUGCUCACGGUCGCGACUUCCUUUUCAUCAACAGCGGCGAUGAUCUCCUCAACAGCUCACGGCUUUGGGCUUCCUCUUCAAUCUUCAUCAACAGCAGCACGCCGGCAACGAUCUCCUUUCUUUCCCAUCAUCAACAGCUGACGGCUUCCUCUUUAUCAACAGCAGCAGGCGACAUCGCUCCUCUUCACCGACAGCCGUUCGGCCUUCAUCAUCAACGACUCCUCUUCAUCAUAAGUUGAUUUUGCCUUCAAAAUGUAAAACUGCAGUAGUUGAUUUUGCCCCGUAAUUGUAUAUUCCCCUGUAACAGAUUUUGAUUUUGCCCCGUUACCCUGUAAUUAUUAAUUACAGAUUUUGAUUUUGCCCGGUCCUGUAAUUUGUAUAUUUAUAAUGUUGAAUUGAAUUGAAUUGAAUGGAAUUGAUGGAAUGAAUUAAAUGGAAUUGAUGGAAUUGAUGGAA